ensembl:miRNA
UGUCCGUCCACUGCCCUUUUUAUGUUGUACUACUAGUGAACAUGCACAAAAAGCAGUGCAAUGUUAAAAGGGCAUUGGCUGGU